UACGGGGGGAGCAAGCGUUGUUCGGAUUUACUGGGCGUAAAGGGCGCAUAGGCGGUCGUGACAAGUCACUUGUGAAAUCUCCGGGCUUAACUCGGAACGGUCAAGUGAUACUGUCGGACUAGAGUACAGAAGGGGCAACUGGAAUUCUCGGUGUAGCGGUGAAAUGCGUAGAUAUCGAGAGGAACACCUGCGGCGAAGGCGGGUUGCUGGGCUGAUACUGACGCUGAGGCGCGAAAGCCAGGGGAGCGAACGGG
rnacentral:rRNA from 1 species